rnacentral:pre_miRNA from 1 species
AUAUUACUCCCUCCGUCCAACAAAAGAUGUCCCAAGUUUAUCAAAAUUUGAAUGUAUAUAGACAUGACUUAGUGUAUAAAUGCAUUUAAAUUUAGUCAAAGUUGAGACAUACUUUUUUAAACAGAGAGAAUACAUG